UGUCGAUGCAGUUGUUCCUACUGUUGUUGGUUCUGUUCUUGUUGGAGCCUGUGUAGUUGAUUCUGUGGUAGGGGUUAGUUCUGUUGUUGCUGCUGUAGUUAAUGUUGUACUUGGAGCUGUAGUUGUUGCUUCCUCAGUUGGAGCUGGAGUAGUUGUAGAUGCAGUUGUUGGUACUGUUGUUGGUUCUGUGCUUGUUGUAGCCUGUGAAGUUGAUUCUGUGGUAGUGGUUAGUUCUGUUGUUGCUGCUGUAGAUGAUGUUGUACUUGGAGCUGUAGUUGUUUCCCCUCUAGUUGUUGCUUCCUCAGUUGGAGUAGUUGGACCUGGAGUAGUUGUAGAUGCGGUUGUUCCUUCUGUUGUUGGUUCUCCACUUGUUGUAACCUGUGUAGUUGAUAGUUCUGUAGUUGUUAUUGUUGUCAGUACAGUUGUACUUGUAGUUUCCUCUGAAGUACUUGGUUCCUGAGUUGUAGUGGUUGGGGCUACAGUUGUUGUAGAUGCUGUUGUUGGUACUGUUGUUGGUUCUGUGCUUGUUGUAGCCUGUGUAGUUGAUUCUGUGGUAGUGGUUAGUUCUGUUGUUGCUGCUGUAGUUAAUGUUGUACUUGGAGCUGUAGUUGUUUCCUCUGUAGUUGUUGCUUCCUCAGUUGGAGUAGUUGGAGCUGGAGUAGUUGUAGAUGCAGUUGUUUCUUCUGUUUUGUUUGCUUCCUCAGUUGGAGUAGUUGGAGCUGGAGUAGUUGUAGAUGCAGUUGUUCCUACUGUUGUUGGUUCUGUGCUUGUUGUAGCUGUG
ensembl:lncRNA